AACGAACGCUGGCGGCAUGCCUAACACAUGCAAGUCGAACGAGACCUUCGGGUCUAGUGGCGCACGGGUGCGUAACGCGUGGGAACCUGCCCUUAGGUUCGGAAUAACUCCCCGAAAGGGGUGCUAAUACCGGAUAAUGUCUUCGAACCAAAGAUUUAUCGCCUUUGGAUGGGCCCGCGUUGGUUUAGCUAGUUGGUAGGGUAAAAGCCUACCAAGGCGACGAUCCAUAGCUGGUCUGAGAGGAUGAUCAGCCACACUGGGACUGAGACACGGCCCAGACUCCUACGGGAGGCAGCAGUGGGGAAUAUUGGACAAUGGGGGAAAGCCUGAUGCAGCAAUGCCGCGUGAGUGAUGAAGGUCUGAGGGUUGUAAAGCUCUUUUAUCCGGGAUGAUAAUGACAGUACCGGGAGAAUAAGCACCGGCUAACUCCGUG
rnacentral:rRNA from 1 species